rnacentral:lncRNA from 1 species
GGAGGAGUUACCUUUGGAGCCCGAAAGGAGGAAGGAAGCAAAAUAUCAACAACAGCCGAGGCGGCUCAGGCGCUCGGCCCCGGUUCCCCGCUUGCCUGCCGCCCGCCUGCUGGCCCCCGCGCCCACGACGGGGGCCCAGGCCUCACGGCGCCGCCCAGGGCCCGCGCGGACGCCGGCCUCAUUUAUUAUUCUCCCCGCCCGGAGCUGCGGCUUCCCGGUGUUGAAGAUCCCCCGGACCAGGGGCGAGGGCUACCCGCUCUUUGCCGUGACAACACCGUUCCCCCAGCCGGGCUGGUUCGGGUCUUAGGGGGAUGGGGAAAGGGGCCCCCUCCCCCUAGUGAAUCACGCUGUCCUCUCAGCAGCCUUCCGAGGACUCCUCCUGAAAGGAAGGCACUCUAGAAGCCACCGACCGGGUUAUCCCAGGAGGCUGUGCAGAAGGUAUCCUGCAGACCAUGAACUGAGCACUGUUCCCAGACCGUUCAUGAGCACAGUGUAAGGUGUGCCGAGACCCACCACCCAGCGAGCCCCUCCCCUCCGUAGCACUGAGGACCCCCGGAGAAGAUGGGGAGGAAAAAGAUUCAGAUCCAGCGAAU